CAGAGUUGCAAAACUCCCAACCCUUUGUGAACGAACCUACCAGUUGCCCUCGGCGGCGAGCCCUUCCGGGGGCAGACCGCCGGAGGAAUACAAACUCUUUGCAUUAUUGUAUCUCUGAUUACUUAUAUAAUAAGUUA
rnacentral:misc_RNA from 1 species